rnacentral:rRNA from 1 species
AUUCCAGCUCCAAUAACAUAUAACCUUAUUAAAAUUGUUGCGGUCGAAAGGCUCGUAGUCGGAUUUCUGCCGAGGACGACCGGUCUGCCCCCUGGGUGAUUAUCUGGCUCGGCCUGGGCAUCUUCUUGGAGAACGUAGCUGCACUUGACUGUGUGGGGCGGCAUUCAAGACUUUUACUUGGAGGAAAUUAGAAUGCGUCAAGCAACAAUACGCCUUGAAUACAUCAGCAUGGAACAAUAAGAUAGGACCUCGGUUCUAUUUUGUUGGUUUCUAAAGCUGAGGUAAAACUGAUACGGAUAGUUGGGGGCAUUCGUAUUUAAGUGUCAGAGGUGGAAUUCCUGGAUUUGUUAAAGACAGACUACUGCGAAAGCAUUCGCCAAGGAUGUUCUUUCUCAUUA